UACGUAGGGGGCGAGCGUUGUCCGGAAUCAUUGGGCGUAAAGGGCGCGUAGGCGGGCUGUCAAGUCUGGGGUGAAAUCCCGCGGCUCAACCGUGGAACUGCCUUAGAUACUGACGGCCUCGAGGGAGAUAGGGGCGAGCGGAACUGUGAGUGGAGCGGUGAAAUGCGUUGAUAUUCACAGGAACUCCGGUGGCGAAGGCGGCUCGCUGGAUCUCUUCUGACGCUGAGGCGCGAAAGCUAGGGGAGCAAACGGG
rnacentral:rRNA from 1 species